rnacentral:rRNA from 1 species
CCUACGGGGGGCAGCAGUCGAGAAUCAUUCACAAUGGGGGAAACCCUGAUGGUGCGACGCCGCGUGGGGGAAUGAAGGUCUUCGGAUUGUAAACCCCUGUCAUGUGGGAGCAAAUUAAAAAGAUAGUACCACAAGAGGAAGAGACGGCUAACUCUGUGCCAGCAGCCGCGGUAAUACAGAGGUCUCAAGCGUUGUUCGGAAUCACUGGGCGUAAAGCGUGCGGAGGCUGUUUCGUAAGUCGUGUGUGAAAGGCGCGGGCUCAACCCGCGGACGGCACAUGAUACUGGGAGACUAGAGUAAUGGAGGGGGAACCGGAAUUCUCGGUGUAGCAGUGAAAUGCGGAGAUAUCGAGAGGAACACUCGUGGCGAAGGCGGGUUCCUGGACAUUAACUGACGCUGAGGCACGAAGGCCAGGGGAGCGAAAGGGAUUAGAUACCCCGGUAGUC